rnacentral:lncRNA from 1 species
GUUGCUCUCCACAAAGUCCAGGACUACACGAGCCUCCGCGGUGACGUGAUCUCGAAGCUCCUUACGAUGAGCCAUGAUCAGCUUUUGGUCCUCCGGCGUCAGUGGGUCCUCAGAAUGGAUAAGCUCAAUGGCGCGCACGAGCUCAGGACUAAGACGUUGAGGCUAAAACAAAAAAGAAGUAAGAAGGAGUUCCCUUCCUAAGAUCUAAAAAGAAAGGGGGUCGAGG